AUUGAACGCUGGCGGCAUGCCUUACACAUGCAAGUCGAACGGCAGCACGGGAGCAAUCCUGGUGGCGAGUGGCGAACGGGUGAGUAAAGCAUCGGAACGUGCCCAGUCGUGGGGGAUAACGUAGCGAAAGCUACGCUAAUACCGCAUACGAUCUGUGGAUGAAAGCGGGGGACCGUAAGGCCUCGCGCGAUUGGAGCGGCCGAUGUCAGAUUAGGUAGUUGGUGAGGUAAAGGCUCACCAAGCCGACGAUCUGUAGCUGGUCUGAGAGGACGACCAGCCACACUGGGACUGAGACACGGCCCAGACUCCUACGGGAGGCAGCAGUGGGGAAUUUUGGACUAUGGGCGCAAGCCUGAUCCAGCAAUGCCGCGUGCAGGAUGAAGGCCUUCGGGUUGUAAACUGCUUUUGUACGGAGCGAAACGGCUUCCACUAAUACUGGGGGCUAAUGACGGUACCGUAGAAUAAGCACCGGCUAACUACGUGCCAGCCGCCGCUGUAAUAC
rnacentral:rRNA from 1 species